ACCGGCGCACGGGUGCGUAACGCGUAUAGACCUACCUUUUACAGAGGAAUAGCCUUUAGAAAUGAAGAUUAAUACCUUAUAGUUUGGCAUCAAUAAAGAUUUAUCGGUAAAAGAUGGCUAUGCGUCCUAUUAGUUAGUUGGUAAGGUAACGGCUUACCAAGACAUCGAUAGGUAGGGGUCCUGAGAGGGAGAUCCCCCACACUGGUACUGAGACACGGACCAGACUCCUACGGGAGGCAGCAGUGAGGAAUAUUGGACAAUGGAGGCAACUCUGAUCCAGCCAUGCCGCGUGUAGGAAGAAUGCCUAUGGGUUGUAAACUACUUUUAUACAGGAAGAAACACUGGUAUGUAUACCAGCUUGACGGUACUGUAAGAAUAAGGACCGGCUAACUCCGUGCCAGCAGCCGCGGUAAUACGGAGGGUCCGAGCGUUAUCCGGAAUCAUUGGGUUUAAAGGGUCCGCAGGCGGUCUAUUAAGUCAGAGGUGAAAUCCCAUAGCUCAACUAUGGAACUGCCUUUGAUACUGGUUGACUUGAGUCAUAUGGAAGUGGAUAGAAUGUGUAGUGUAGCGGUGAAAUGCAUAGAUAUUACACAGACUACCGAUUGCGAAGGCAGUCCACUACGUAUGUACUGACGCUGAGGACGACGGCGUGAGGAGCGACCAGAAUAGAAUACCCUGGUAGUCCACGUCG
rnacentral:rRNA from 1 species